UCCUCCGAUAGUUUUGUACGGUCUGCAAAAAGUAAAUAAUGAUUAUCAUACAUUUUAGUAAAUAAACUUUUAAUAAAUAUUUUCAUUUUUACUUGUAGUUAAAAUUACUUUGCUCUACGACUUUUGUUAAUAUGCUAUUGUAGUUAUUCAUUAGUUUUACAUGACGUUUAGCCGUUUCGUUAACUACUACUAUUGCUGCAAUUAUUUUUUUACCUUUUUGAAAGUCUUCAUUUUCUUCUCAAAAUUGUGGACCUAUUUUAUGUUAGAUUAUUUAAAAAAUUGAAAAGACUUAUUUGUAAUUAAGUCAACUGUAAAGCGAGAAUCGAUAAUUGAAAAAAGAGCUCAAUUGAAUUAAGUGUAGUGAACCAGACUUGAGACUGACAUUUAAUAAUGAACAACAGAUUCUUUUUAGAGCCAUUUUUUCCGUUUUGUGUAGGCAACUUAAUCAUCAGAGUUUCUAGUGAAGUAUAUUGUAAGCGUGACCGCCGCUAAAAAAAUAUUUGGAAAUAUGGUACCAGGGAAUCAGGGAAAAUAUGUUGUUUUUAAUGUUAGACGCGCUCAGAACUUUCGAUCAAAUUCUAGAAAAAUGGUAUCAGGGGUUUAGAAGAUGAUGACGAAUAUGAUUACCUUAAAGACACCGAACUGUGAUGGCGAUGCUGGCGGGAUAACGUUGUGCUAUUCUGUCGGUCGGUAUUUAAGACAGCCAGACGUAUUCGGCUGAAUAAUCUCAGAUUUCUACACAUAAUAUGGAACAAAAAUUUGACGCCAUUAUCCAAGACAUGCAACGCGCAAAUCAGUAUCGUAAAAUUAAGUGGCGUGAUUGUAUGAUGAGUAUGACAUGACAUAUCAUACUCAUCCAGAAACGAGCGGAUUUACCGGUACACCCACUGCCGAUGUAAGGGACGUGUAGAACGUAUAACUGCACAGGACAUCGCACAAGUGGAAAAUAGUAAAUGAAAGUUCUUAAAUUCUAUUAAAUAGUAUUCCGUUGAUUGAGUUUUGGUUUCGCGACACAGAUGCG